UACCUGAAGGGUGGUCCUCUGACCGGACCACCUUGGAAACAACUGGAAACAAGGACUCUCCAGUCCCACCCUGUAACUCCUUCAGAACCUGCAAUGUCACCGUGUCACCUCAUCCGGCGGCUCGGAUGCAAAGCACGGCUGUAUUUUGUACAGAGGACACAGCUUCUACAAGCACACAGCUGCCGGCAUCAAAGAGCAGAGCCCAGCCAAGACGAUCCUGGUAGCGCUGUCUGGACCUGCGUGUGGGCUGUAGACCCCGCAUAGGAGGACACUGGACUCAGCAUCAGACAACAGCUGUCUGGUCAGGGCAGCGAGCUUUCAUUCUGUGAGCUUCAUUCCUGUUGCGACACGUCCUACCCUGGAAAUGCUGAACAGGCUCUGAGAACCUCUGAAUUCUAUAUUGACUCAAUGAAGCUUCAAGACUCACCUGAGGGCACAGCUCUUAUUAGCACGGGCCUUCAUACCCCUCGAGCGUUUUUCCACAUUUACAGAUGCUGUGAGUGACCCAGUCUUUCCAGAACCAGCAUUGGUGAUGUUUUCCC
ensembl:lncRNA